rnacentral:rRNA from 1 species
GAUCCUGCCGGAGGCCAUUGCUAUCGGAGUCCGAUUUAGCCAUGCUAGUUGUGCGGGUUUAGACCCGCAGCGGAAAGCUCAGUAACACGUGGCCAAGCUACCCUGUGGACGGGAAUACUCUCGGGAAACUGAGGCUAAUCCCCGAUAACGCUAUGCUCCUGGAAGGGGCAAAGCCGGAAACGCUCCGGCGCCACAGGAUGCGGCUGCGGUCGAUUAGGUAGACGGUGGGGUAACGGCCCACCGUGCCCAUAAUCGGUACGGGUUGUGAGAGCAAGAGCCCGGAGACGGAAUCUGAGACAAGAUUCCGGGCCCUACGGGGCGCAGCAGGCGCGAAACCUUUACACUGUACGAAAGUGCGAUAAGGGGACUCCGAGUGUGAAGGCAUAGAGCCUUCACUUUUGUACACCGUAAGGUGGUGCACGAAUAAGGACUGGGCAAGACCGGUGCCAGCCGCCGCGGUAAUACCGGCAGUCCGAGUGAUGGCCGAUCUUAUUGGGCCUAAAGCGUCCGUAGCUGGCUGAACAAGUCCGUUGGGAAAUCUGUCCGCUUAACGGGCAGGCGUCCAGCGGAAACUGUUCAGCUUGGGACCGGAAGACCUGAGGGGUACGUCUGGGGUAGGAGUGAAAUCCUGUAAUCCUGGACGGACCGCCGGUGGCGAAAGCGCCUCAGGAGAACGGAUCCGACAGUGAGGGACGAAAGCUAGGGUCUCGAACCGGAUUAAAUACCC